rnacentral:rRNA from 1 species
UACGUAGGUGGCAAGCGUUGUCCGGAUUUACUGGGCGUAAAGAGCGCGCAGGCGGUCGGAUAAGUCGAAUGUGAAAGCCCCCGGCUCAACUGGGGAGGGUCAUUCGAUACUGUUCGACUCGAAGGCAGGAGAGGGAAGUGGAAUUCCCGGUGUAGUGGUGAAAUGCGUAGAUAUCAGGAGGAACACCAGUGGCGAAGGCGACUUCCUGGCCUGUUCUUGACGCUGAGGCGCGAAAGCUAGGGGAGCAAACGGG